GCUUUGUUCUUUUCUAGUGGCUGAUUGUUAGAAUAUGUGCUUGGCAGAAGUCAGUUCCUCGUGCUUCUAUGAGAAGGUCUGUUUCCUUGCUAGCUGUCAGCUAUGGGCUGUCUUAGCUAUUAAAGGCAACUCCCUGGUCCUUCUGUUGGCCCCCUAUGUCUCAGAACCAGCAUAGGUGCAUCAACUCUUUCUCAUGCUCAGAAUCUCUUGGACUUCCCCUUCUAUAACAUCUUUCCUGCCUUUUAUUCUACCACAUGUGACUCCAGCCUGAGAAAAUGAUCUGCCUUUAAGACUUACGUGAUUAGGUUGGGAUCACCCAGGAUUUUGAAAAAGCAAGCUGACAUAAAUCCUAUAAUCCCAAGGAAAUGAGUUUUACCAACAACCAGAGAAAGGUUGGAAGCAGAUUCUUUCUACGUAGAGCCUCCAGAUGAGAACCAGCUAAGUCAUGCCUGGACUUCUGACCCACAGAAACUGAGGGAUAAUAAAUGUUUUAAGCCACCAAGUUUGCGAUAAUUUGUUACAAAGCAUAGAAAGCUAACACAGAUGACUUGAAUUCUAAAUUCCAUGUAAAAUUUUAUAACUUUUCUCUUUAUGUAUUCAGAUAAACAAUAUUCCUUACACACAUUUGAAAACAUAUCAAUAUAAGACAGC
rnacentral:lncRNA from 1 species